GUGCUCACUUUGGCAGCACUUACACUAAAACUGGAACAAUGCAGAGAAGACCAGCAUGGACUUGCAAGUUUGUGAAGUAUUCCAUAUUUUU
rnacentral:snRNA from 1 species